ensembl:snoRNA SNORA74 Small nucleolar RNA SNORA74
CCCAGCGGUAGUCAGCUGUACAGGCCCGCCCGUGCCUGAGCUAGUGUUACACUGCUGGGAGAGGAACGCUCUGCUCAUGUGGCCUGGUCCAGCAGACACUGUUUUAGUGGCUGUUGAUACUUUGCUUUAGCAGAGCUUUGCCCUUCUGAGAGUUGGCUGUGUUCACACUGUGUUCACCGCCAUAGUCUAAGGACAUACAGA